rnacentral:tRNA from 1 species
GGGACCAUAGCUCAGCUGGGAGAGCACCUGCCUUACAAGCAGGGGGUCACAGGUUCGAAUCCCUGUGCGCUCA